rnacentral:rRNA from 1 species
UACGGAGGGUGCGAGCGUUGUCCGGAAUCAUUGGGCGUAAAGGGCGCGUAGGUGGCGGGACAAGCGUGCGGUGAAAGCCUGGGGCUCAACCCCGGGUCGGCCGUGCGAACUGCUGGGCUUGAGCACUGUAGAGGCAGGCGGAAUUCCGGGUGUAGCGGUGGAAUGCGUAGAGAUCCGGAAGAACACCGGUGGCGAAGGCGGCCUGCUGGGCAGUUGCUGACACUGAGGCGCGACAGCGUGGGGAGCAAACAGG